GAGGGUCUGAUGAAGCCACUGUCUUCUCUCCCAGUUUCCGCUUCAAGAGACUGACAUGGAAAACAGAGUGUAUUUGAGCAGUUUCUGGGAAGUCUGCCGAUAUGGUUGCAGUUUCAGUUUGCUAAUGCCAGGAAAUUAAGC